UGCAUCUGCUUCUAGGUUAAUUUGUCACAGCCUAACAAGUUCAUACUGACAUGAACAAGUGACAAAGAUAGCAUGUUCCACUCAACAUGAGAUCAUCAUGGGACAUUAUAAUUUAUAAUUCAAAACGGUGCCUGUUUAAGGAGAAUCUCCCGUGAAUCAGGGCGCCUUAACGUUCCUCUUGAUGAGUGAUGUUGAUGCCGAAGAAGCCGACUCCAAGCUAGGGAAACAUAGCACACGAGCCAGCCAUGGUGCUCUUCUGUCUUCUCAGGUAAGGAUACUCUACCUGCAGUCGAACUGUCGAGUAUAACAAGUGCUUCAGGUUCCAGCUCCAGAAGCUGUAUCGCAGAAUUGUGCACCUCAGCACCUGGGACUGGGAGGCAGCGUUGCUGAUUGCUGAUUGCUAUUGACCCGCGUUGCUUGUUCCUCCUUCCGCAUGCUGCAGAUCAAGACUGUACAAAGGGCUGGAGGCGUCGCCGACGGCUUGGCGCUGCCGAGCGUCUUGAAGGCAUGUUCGUGCGAG